GGUCAAUGAAUGAUAGGCAAGCGUUUGGAUGUCCUGCCCGAUGUACUGUUACCACAAAGACCAGCCGCUAACGAUCUAUCUACUUCCUGUGGUUCU